rnacentral:rRNA from 1 species
GGGGGUACUGGCGGCGUGCUAUACUGCAGUCGAGCGAUGGAUUAGAGCUUGCUCUUAUGAAGUUAGCGGCGGACGGGUGAGUAACACGUGGGUAACCUGCCCAUAAGACUGGGAUAACUCCGGGAAACCGGGGCUAAUACCGGAUAACAUUUUGAACUGCAUGGUUCGAAAUUGAAAGGCGGCUUCGGCUGUCACUUAUGGAUGGACCCGCGUCGCAUUAGCUAGUUGGUGAGGUAACGGCUCACCAAGGCAACGAUGCGUAGCCGACCUGAGAGGGUGAUCGGCCACACUGGGACUGAGACACGGCCCAGACUCCUACGGGAGGCAGCAGUAGGGAAUCUUCCGCAAUGGACGAAAGUCUGACGGAGCAACGCCGCGUGAGUGAUGAAGGCUUUCGGGUCGUAAAACUCUGUUGUUAGGGAAGAACAAGUGCUAGUUGAAUAAGCUGGCACCUUGACGGUACCUAACCAGAAAGCCACGGCUAACUACGUGCCAGCAGCCGCGGUAAUACGUAGGUGGCAAGCGUUAUCCGGAAUUAUUGGGCGUAAAGCGCGCGCAGGUGGUUUCUUAAGUCUGAUGUGAAAGCCCACGGCUCAACCGUGGAGGGUCAUUGGAAACUGGGAGACUUGAGUGCAGAAGAGGAAAGUGAAUUCCAUGUGUAGCGGUGAAAUGCGUAUAGAUAUGGACGAACACCAGUGUUGAAUCGACUUUCUGGUCUGUAACUGACACUGAGGCGUGAAGCGUGGUUGACAAACAUGACUAAGAUACCCUUGGUAGUCCUCGCCGAAACGAUGAGUGCUUACUGCUAGAGGUUUUCCGCCCUUUAGUGCUG